UGAACCUAUUACAAGAAAAUGGAGAUGUGAUUCCAAACAUUAGAUACAAGUAUCUGCAGUUGUUUCAUUUAGAAUGAGCUUUAUGGGAGGACUUGUUUUCAAACCACAAAAUUAAAUUUGAGUGGUGUGCGUAUGUUUUAAAAAGCUGAACUACGUGCUGUACAUUCUGUUUUGGAGAGGAGGCCCAGGACACGGGAGGUCUUUUUUUGUUUUGUUUUUAAUCUGUUCUAUUUGCCGUGAAUUUAAAAUUUUUUUAACUUCAUUUUAAAUAGGACUAUCCACACAACUAUUGUACUCUAACAUUAACUGUUGUAUAACGUGAAAGUUGAGCAUUGUUUAUCCCAAUGCUUCAACCCAGAAGUGUUCCAAAUUUCAAUAAUUUUUUUUAAUUUUAUGAUGUGUCAUAUACAUGACAUAUCUGAGGAUGAGACCCAAAGCUAAACGUGGAAUUCAUGUUUGUUUGCAUCCUAUAAACAUAGCCAAGGCAAUUUUACGUCAUAUUUUUAGUGUUUCUUGUGUUUCCACUAACCCUGAGUCAGGAAUCAUUUGUAGAGUAUAAAGUAUGCUAAUAUUAAGUAAGACAGCAGGAGUUUUUUCCAAACCACCAAAGAGUAACAUUUUUGGACUUUUAAGAAGUCUUAGUGUUUGCCCUGGAAGACUUUUUUGUCAUAAACUGGUCCUGGGAAUUGAAACGAGCUGUGAUGAUACAGCAGCUGCUGUAGUGGAUGAAGCUGGACAUGUGUUGGGAGAAGCAAUGCAUUCCCAGACCGAGGUUCAUUUAAAAACAGGUGGGAUUGUUCCUCCAGUAGCUCAACAGCUUCACAGAGAAAAUAUUCAGCGAAUAGUAGAAGAAACUCUUUCUGCUGGUAGACUCUCUCCACAAGACCUCUCAGCGGUGGCAACUACCAUCAAACCAGGACUGGCCCUAAGCCUGGGCGUAGGCUUAUCAUUCAGCUUACAGCUAGUAAAUCAGUUUAAAAAGCCAUUCAUUCCUAUUCAUCAUAUGGAGGCUCAUGCACUUACAAUUAGGCUAACCAAUAAAGUAGAAUUUCCUUUUCUAGUUCUUUUGAUUUCUGGAGGUCACUGUCUGUUGGCAUUAGUCCGAGGUGUGUCGGAUUUUCUGCUUCUUGGGAAGUCUUUGGACAUAGCACCAGGUGACAUGCUUGACAAGGUGGCAAGAAGACUUUCUUUAAUCAAACAUCCAGAAUAUUCUACGAUGAGUGGUGGAAAGGCUAUAGAACAUUUGGCCAAACAAGGAAAUAGAUUCCAUUUUACUAUCAAUCCUCCCAUGCAGAAUGCUAAAAAUUGCGAUUUUUCUUUUACGGGACUUCAGCAUGUUAUCGAUAAGCUAAUAACGUGCAAGGAGAAAGAAGAAGGCAUUGAGAAGGGGCAAAUCCUGUCUUCAGCUGCAGACAUUGCUGCUGCAGUGCAGCAUACAACAGCGCGCCACCUUGUGAUGAGAACACAUCGUGCUAUUCUGUUUUGCAAGCAAAAGGAUCUGUUACCUCCAGCUAAUGCAGUAUUAGUUGUAUCUGGAGGUGUUGCAAGUAACUUGUAUAUCCGAAGAGCGUUGGAAAUUGUAGCAGAUGCAACACAAUGCACUUUGUUGUGUCCUCCUCCAAGACUGUGCACUGAUAAUGGCGUUAUGAUUGCAUGGAAUGGGAUUGAAAGAUUACGUGCUGGCUUGGGCAUUUUACAUGAUGUAGAAGACAUCCGAUAUGAACCAAAAUGUCCUCUUGGAGUAGACAUAUCCAAAGAAGUUGCAGAAGCUGCCAUAAAAGUACCACGAUUAAAAAUGACAAUUUGAUUGGUGAUUAUCAAAGGUCUCUACAGGUAAUGUCUCAAAUAAUAAGUUUUAAGUUUUUGAUAUCAAAUUAUAUAAAUAUGUUCAUUAGGCUUCAAGACUUUUUAUGCAUGUGUGUAUGCAUAUUCCUGGAGGGCACAUGUGUGUGCAGGGGUACCUAUGUGAGUGUAUGGUAGCAAGGAGUCAUUCACAGUUCAGGUGUUAACUCUCAGGAAUGCUGUCAACCUCCUUUGAGACCAGGCUUCUCAUUGUCUUGGAGCUUUACCAAUUAGACUAGAGGACAUUGACCAGGGAGCCUCAGCAAGAUGCUGUCACCACCAUCCUCGCACGGGAUUACAAGUUUACACUGCCGUGCCUGGUAGUUUUACAUGCUUUCUGGAGAUUGAACUUGGGACCAUGCCUGCAAGUACAUUACCUCCUGAGUUAUCUCACCAGGCCCAAGACUCUUUUAAAAUUCCUUUUUUUUAUCUUUUCUUCUGAAAGAUAAUAACUGCAUGUUACAGUUUUUCAAAAGAGAAUGGCUUUUUUAUUAUCAAAAACCAGGGAAAUCAAAGGAUGAAGAACUUACUGAUGUUGGCAGGUGGGAAAAAAAAUAUCCUUGAGAGAAAUACAGUGGUUCUUUUGAUUCCUGGCCCUGUAUCAUGGAUCCUAAGUCAUUUUCCCUUUUUUUCAGGAGAGUAGAAGCUAGUUUUUGACCGCUACUACAGUAGACUGACUUCUUCAAUGAGAGCAGUUUUAAAAUCAAGCCAGGUCUCAGCUGUAUCUAAUCACAGACCCCUGAGUUAUGACAGAACUUGACCAACAGAAAUAUGGACUUUACUGGCUAAAGGACCCCAGCAUCCACAUGGCAGCUCCCAAGUGUCCAUAACUCCAGUUCCAAUGGAUCCAGCAUCCUUUUCUGACCUCCUAGGGCACCAAACAUGCAUGUGGAACACAAACAUAAAUGCAAGCAAAACACUCAUACACGUAACAUUUUAAAAAUUGAUAAUAAAUCUUAAUUUGUUUAAAGGAAAAAUGUUGCUAUGUCUACUGAUUUUGCCACGAGAUGUUUCUGUAUACUGGACCAAGUUGUUAAUUUUGUGAACUUUCUAGUCUUUGGUGACAUGUUUUAUUGAAAAGCUAGAGAAGGUAAAGAUAAAAAUUUAGCAUAGAAAAAACUUUUUUUUCAGGUGCCUCACUUUAGAGUAUUCCAAUAGUAGAAUUACAGGCAUAUACCACUAUUCUUAUCUAGAAUGGAAACAUCUCUUAUUUUAGUCCUAUUUUAAGCUAGCUUCUCAGAAAGUUCCAUAAGCAAUUCUUUAGUUCAAUUUAUGAUCACCUACUUUCUCCUAGAAAUGGAACAACUGGAAAUAGCCAUUACUUAAAAUAGCUUUUUAUUCUUUGUUAUUAGUUUGCUGUUGUAUAAUAGGAUUGGUAAAGAAGUAACAGGUAAAAGCAACAAGUAGUUCAGGAAUUCACAUUUUACAUUUGGAUUUACAUUUUGUGUAUGUGAUUAUAAAUUAACAAACUCCUUUCAUGUGACUACUGCUGUCAGUACAUAUAAAUUAUAGAAGAAAAUUUACCAAAAUUUAUAUUAUGAAUAUACUCAUAAUCUGUGUUUUGAAAAUGUUAAAAGUUGUUCCAAGUGCUAUAAUCAUGCACGUAUGUCAAAAUUACUAAUUAUUUCAUGAUACAAGUAAGGGGAAAGUAUAGCUAAAAAAAAUGAGUGAACCCUAGACAGCAGCCAUGUCUCUAAUCCUUGAAUACUUGGCUUUGAGAAGGUUGGGAUAAGGGAGCAACACUGAAUUCUGUUGAUGAACACAUGCCAAAUUUACCUUACAGUGAAGCAAAGGUAUAUUAGCUUAGUGGGUCACUGAAAUCAAAUGGGGGCUUGUUGUUUUGUAUUCUUUUGUUUUUGAGACAGUCUCACUCUGUGGCCCAGGCUUGUCUAGGACUCACUAUAUAGCUCACACUGGUCUUGAACUCUUAGCAAGCCUCCUGCAUGAACCUCCCACAUCCUUGAUUACAGCACACCUGGUAAUGCUCAGUAUGUCCUCGAGGCUUUUUUGUAUAUAAUUUUUAAAAGAAAACAAUACAAUAAUAAAAAUUAAUCUUGAAGAGUUGAGGGUAUCCUCCCCAGGUUCAGAGAGCUAUGCCAGAGAGGAAGCAGAAAGACUGCAAGAACCAGAGGGGAUGGAUGACUCUACGGGAACAGUGGCCUCCAAACACAACAGACUGAUGUACAUAUGUGCUCAGAGAGAUGUGGCAGCAUGCAUGGGGCCUGCACAGGUCCGAGCCAGAUGGAGUCCCAGUGCAGAGAGGGGAAGUGGACAUGAACUCACAUCCGAACCAAGAAGCUCUCUCCAACUGAUAAUCCACUUGCAUAGGAAAAAUUAGUUUUCUCCAACGGAGUUUCACUGGGUGUGUUAACCACACUUCAGGGUAGGUCCCGUGCCCAGCAGUAGAUGGUCAACACAAAAUGGACUCAAUGACAUAUUUGUAGACUUUCUGUCUCAUGUUGCUUUGAUUGGACAUUUUUGUUUGUUUGUUUUGUUUUACUGGUCUUUUGCUUGUAUAUUGUGGAUCCAAUUUUAUGUUUUUAUGGGUUUGUGUGUGUGUUUGUUUCUUGUGUUUACUUUUUUAAAAAAAGUUCUGGUUUGUUUGGA